CUGCUUGCUUCGACAGCACAUAUACUAAAAUUGGAAUGAUACUGAGAUUAGCACAGCCCCUGAGCAACGAUGACAGGCCAAUUCAUGAAGAGACUGGGCAGAUC
ensembl:snRNA U6 U6 spliceosomal RNA